GUGAACGCUGGCGGUAGGCCUAACACAUGCAAGUCGAACGGCAGCACAGUAAGAGCUUGCUCUUACGGGUGGCGAGUGGCGGACGGGUGAGGAAUACAUCGGAAUCUACUUUUUCGUGGGGGAUAACGUAGGGAAACUUACGCUAAUACCGCAUACGACCUACGGGUGAAAGCAGGGGAUCUUCGGACCUUGCGCGAUUGAAUGGGCCGAUGUCGGAUUAGCUAGUUGGCGGGGUAAAGGCCCACCAAGGCGACGAUCCGUAGCUGGUCUGAGAGGAUGAUCAGCCACACUGGAACUGAGACACGGUCCAGACUCCUACGGGAGGCAGCAGUGGGGAAUAUUGGACAAAGGGCGCAAGCCUGAUCCAGCCAUACCGCGUGGGUGAAGAAGGCCUUCGGGUUGUAAAGCCCUUUUGUUGGGAAAGAAAAGCAGCAGGUUAAUACCCCGCUGUUCUGACGGUACCCAAAGAAUAAGCACCGGCUAACUUCGUG
rnacentral:rRNA from 1 species